UCCCGGCUAGCUCAGUUGGUAGAGCGUCAGACUCUUAUUUACGAGAGUCUUCCUGAGCAACAGGAAGAAUUAAAUCUGAAUGUCGAGGGUUCGAGCCCCUCGUUGGGAG